rnacentral:rRNA from 1 species
GACGAACGCUGGCGGCGUGCUUAACACAUGCAAGUCGAGCGGUAAGGCCCUUUCGGGGGUACGACGAGCGGCGAACGGGUGAGUAACACGUGGGUGACCUGCCCUCAGCUCUGGGAUAAGCCUGGGAAACGUGGGUCUAAUACCGGAUAUGACUCCAUGACGCAUGUUGUGGGGUGGAAAGCCUUGUGCGGCUGAGGAUGGGCCCGCGGCCUAUCAGCUUGUUGGUGGGGUGAGGCCUACCAAGGCGACGACGGGUAGCCGGCCUGAGAGGGCGACCGGCCACACUGGGACUGAGACACGGCCCAGACUCCUACGGGAGGCAGCAGUGGGGAAUCUUGCGCAAUGGGCGAAAGCCUGACGCAGCGACGCCGCGUGAGGGAUGACGGCCU